GUGCUUGUAGCUCAGCUGGAUAGAGCAACGGCCUUCUAAGCCGUGGGUCGCACGUUCGAAUCGUGCCAGGCACA
rnacentral:tRNA from 1 species